rnacentral:lncRNA from 13 species
GUUCAAAUUACAUUUGUUGUCACUUGACAGAAAAGUAAUUUAUGUGAUAAAAAAGCAGUUGACCAACUAAUUACUCUGCCAAUUGGGGUCUUUUAUCUCAAUGUUUCACCUUUUUUUUUUUUUUUUAAAAAAAGGAAUUUUGUAAGAAAACAUUCUUUUUGAAAUAUGAGAUUAGCUUUUAUCAUUGCAAAGUAAACAUGAGAAAUAAUAUUUGGAAUGACUCAUCGUUAUGUUUUGUAGUUUGAAGACGUUUAUCUGGCUAAAUUAGUAAGCAGGGAAGUAAAUUAAUGCUAAAAACGGUCCACAAAUUUAAAACCAAAUGCACUAAGUGAAGAAAACUCAUAAGGAAAUAGGAAUUGGGUAGGAACGUAUGUAUUCCCAAAAGCAAGCUUUCUGCAGUGUUCUUGAUUGCAAGCUACAUUCAGCUUUUGAGGAAACUGGGAAAGAGCCCUAGGACAUGGAAGAAUUGCCGUGCUGUAAACCAGAUGCCAGAUGAGAGCAAUCAGGAGCUGUCCUCAAAUGAGAAUCACUCCCUGUCGCUAAAAGAAUACUCGUCAAGACUUCGGAUGUAAAGCUGAUCUCUCAGAUGAGUCCAAAUCCUUCCAGAGUAGAGCUAUUCCUCUUCUGGACUUAAACAGCAGGGAUGACAAAGUGAUAUUUAAUUCCAUGUUUUCUUUGGGGUGUUACUAGGGUACCAGGGCUUCUAGUGAUUUGCUCCUGCUGACCAUCAAGAGGUUGUUGUAUCCACCUUGCCAGUUGUUGAUGGCCCCCAAAGUGUGUCGUACAGCCAUGGAAAACCUACUACUCCCACUAGCAGUGCCCUAGGCCAGAUAAUUGUUCUCUGGCCUUUCUCUUGAGGUUGGAGAGAACCUCAUUACUGAGAAAGUUUGCUCCAUGGUAUCAGCUAUUAGAGACCUAAAAAGGUAACCCCCUUAUUUUGGUUUGCUAUCCCUGCUACUGAGGC